GAGGGUCUAGCUCAGCGGUAGAGCGCGUGCUUUCCACGCACGAGGUCCCGGGUUCAAUCCCCAGCACCUCCA
rfam:Camelus ferus unplaced genomic scaffold scaffold568, whole genome shotgun sequence.